GACGAACGCUAGGCGGCGUGCUUAACACAUGCAAGUCGAGCGGUAAGGCCCUUUCGGGGGUACACGAGCGGCGAACGGGUGAGUAACACGUGGGUGACCUGCCCUCAGCUCUGGGAUAAGCCUGGGAAACCGGGUCUAAUACUGGAUAUGACUCCAUGACGCAUGUUGUGGGGUGGAAAGCCUUGUGCGGCUGAGGAUGGGCCCGCGGCCUAUCAGCUUGUUGGUGGGGUGANGGCCUACCAAGGCGACGACGGGUAGCCGGCCUGAGAGGGCGACCGGCCACACUGGGACUGAGACACGGCCCAGACUCCUACGGGAGGCAGCAGUGGGGAAUCUUG
rnacentral:rRNA from 1 species